rnacentral:rRNA from 1 species
GAUGAACGCUGGCGGCGUGCCUAAUACAUGCAAGUCGAGCGAACGGACGAGAAGCUUGCUUCUCUGAUGUUAGCGGCGGACGGGUGAGUAACACGUGGAUAACCUACCUAUAAGACUGGGAUAACUUCGGGAAACCGGAGCUAAUACCGGAUAAUAUUUUGAACCGCAUGGUUCAAAAGUGAAAGACGGUCUUGCUGUCACUUAUAGAUGGAUCCGCGCUGCAUUAGCUAGUUGGUAAGGUAACGGCUUACCAAGGCAACGAUGCAUAGCCGACCUGAGAGGGGGAUCGGCCACACUGGAACUGAGACACGGUCCAGACUCCUACGGGAGGCAGCAGUAGGGAGUCUUCCGCAAUGGGCGAAAGCCUGACGGAGCAACGCCGCGUGAGUGAUGAAGGUCUUCGGAUCGUAAAACUCUGUUAUUAGGGAAGAACAUAUGUGUAAGUAACUGUGCACAUCUUGACGGUACCUAAUCAGAAAGCCACGGCUAACUACGUG